rnacentral:rRNA from 1 species
UACGGGGGGAGCAAGCGUUGUUCGGAUUUACUGGGCGUAAAGGGCGCGUAGGCGGUCAGCACAAGUCAGUUGUGAAAUCUCCGAGCUUAACUCGGAAAGGUCAACUGAUACUGUGCGACUAGAGUGCAGAAGGGGCAACUGGAAUUCUUGGUGUAGCGGUGAAAUGCGUAGAUAUCAAGAGGAACACCUGCGGCGAAGGCGGGUUGCUGGGCUGACACUGACGCUGGAGGCGCGAAAGCUAGGGGAGCGAACGGG